rnacentral:lncRNA from 10 species
AAAUUAAAAAAGAAACAUUUAGGGAAUAAGAUAGUAGUUUUGGUUUUCUUGCUGAAAAAUUGAAACUGAAUCUGAUCAAAACUCUAGAUGAAAAGAAGUACAGGAGACAGUGGAGUAUUUUAAACAAUGCCCUAGGGAUUAACCAGCAGAAUUCAGACUCUGAGAAGCUCUAUAAGGAAAAGUUAUCAGUUUUAUCCCCAACAAUAAAAUGUAAGAAAAAAAGAAAGGAAGAUGGAAUCUAUGGAUUAAAGACCUAGAGUACAUA